GCCUGGGUGGCUCAGUCGGUUGAGCAGCCGACUUCGGCUCAGGUCAUGAUCUCGCGGUCCGUGAGUUCGAGCCCCGCCUCGGGCU
rnacentral:tRNA from 1 species